rnacentral:rRNA from 1 species
UUGGGAAUCUUGCGCAAUGGGGGAAACCCUGACGCAGCGACGCCGCGUGCGGGAUGACGGCCUUCGGGUCGUAAACCGCUUUUCCCAGGGACGAUAAUGACGGUACCUGGGGAAUCAGCCCCGGCUAACUCCGUGCCAGCAGCCGCGGUAAGACGGAGGGGGCUAGCGUUGUCCGGAAUUACUGGGCGUAAAGCGCUCGUAGGCGGUCGCGUACGGCGGUGGUGAAAGCUCCCGGCUCAACUGGGAGAGGCCCGCCGCAACGGCGUGACUCGAGGGUGGUAGAGGCAAAUGGAAUUCCAGGUGUAGCGGUGAAAUGCGUAGAGAUCUGGAGGAACACCCGUGGCGAAGGCGGUUUGCUGGGCCAUGCCUGACGCUGAGGAGCGAAAGCUAGGGGAGCGAACGGG